AGGACGAACGCUGGCGGCGUGCUUAACACAUGCAAGUCGAGCGGUAAGGCCUCUUCGGGGGUACACGAGCGGCGAACGGGUGAGUAACACGUGAGCAAUCUGCCCUUCACUUCGGGAUAAGCCUCGGAAACGGGGUCUAAUACCGGAUAUGACCGUGCCAUGCAUGUGGUGUGGUGGAAAGUUCUGGCGGUGGAGGAUGAGCUCGCGGCCUAUCAGCUUGUUGGUGGGGUAAUGGCCUACCAAGGCUUCGACGGGUAGCCGGCCUGAGAGGGUGACCGGCCACACUGGGACUGAGACACGGCCCAGACUCCUACGGGAGGCAGCAGUGGGGAAUAUUGGACAAUGGGCGAAAGCCUGAUCCAGCAACGCCGCGUGAGGAUGACGGCCUUCGGGUUGUAAACCUCUUUCAGCGCCGACGAAGCGAGAGUGACGGUAGGCGCAGAAGAAGCACCGGCAACUGCGUGCCAGCAGCCGCGGUAAUCGAGACGGCGUCGCGA
rnacentral:rRNA from 1 species